GGCGUGAGUUGAAGGACUCUGCACUGAGCUCUGGCACCAAUCAUGUAGCACCUGAGAAUGUGGGAAGAUAUUGAUCCACAAGCUACUAAACCAGCGAUCCACAAAUUAGAAGCUACACAAAUAUUUCGUGUCUUAUGAGUCCAGGAUGAAUCUGCCUCAAUGCUGUUUAGGUGGGCAGGAAGAGGACCCAAGAUAGAACUGCAAGGCCAAGUAUGGGAAAUUCAAAACAAAAUUGGAAGAAGUUCUUUGAAGUCAAAUGCACCAGUCAAAAAUGUGAAAAGUACAUCCUGACACAACUGACUCCUGCUUUUUCUUCCUUGUGAGGUUAGUUAAACCAGCAUAACCUCUUUUAAACCUCUUUUCCCUUGCUUUACAUUGAUGUAAAAGACCGUGAGACAUGGAAAGCAGCAGUGGUCUGGGCUUUUCACGGCCUGACUUCCCACUGAGGACAUAACCUUGCUCUCAACCAGUGCCUGACCUGAUCUGAAAACCAAGGGUAACUUCUCUGUACCUAGUGGGCGCUCUCUCUGAUCCCAGAAGGGACAGCAGAUUAACUUUAGCUCAUGCCUGAAGAGCUACUCACCUAUGCUGUAUUUUCUGAAGCCAAGGAGCUACAAAGUUCUUCAUAUGCUGCAUUCUGAAAAGACACUGACUCGCAAACCUUCACAUUUGCAAAGAAAAAUACCCAGCAGCUGGAAGUAAAGUGAAAGCUUCCUCCCUGCCUCCUGCCCUCUCUUCCUUCCUUCUUUCCUCCCUCCCAAAGAUAAAGUGGCAUUCUGCUCUAUUCCUACAAAAGUGAGAACUGGAUUGGUCCUCGUGGUUUGCUUCAGUUAUAUUUGGUAAUUUUUUUUAACUGCCUUCCUGUAGUAUGACUCCCAGUAAUAACACCAGGGCUUUAAAAAGACUAAAGGCUCCCAGGGUUGCAGCUGGUAAAUUUUCAUGCAGAAGCUACAGAGUAUUUUCCCCACUACAGUAGAUCCUCUUAUCUGGCUCAUUAUCAGUAGAAUCCCGUGUACACUAAAAUCCAGAGGCAGCAAAAUACUCAGGCAUGUGCUUAGAGAUAAGCUCAUGUUUACAUGAUUUGCUAGACCUAUAGACAAAAGCUGUUAUGGAGAGACUGUGAUACCAUACUGAUCAAUCGUCACAUUUCUUCCAGCUCUACAUAUCCUUUACAGGCUGAAAGCUGGAGAAGCAUGAGUUACCUACAUUUUAACAGCCCUUUUACUUCCCUGAAGAGCCAAUGGUAAAAUCUAUUUCAGCUUUACCACCUGCCCUGAGUCCUAGCGAAGGGGAGAGAUCAAAACUGAAUGGUGCAGCCUACAGCUGCAUGGAAAGUCCUACUUUUUUUUUUUUUUAAAGGAAAGCAAAGGGUGUCAACAAAUGGGAAAGCUGACUGUUACUGGGAAGCAUUUUCAUUCCAGUUUGUACUGCAAAUGCUGUUCAGCUACAUGAAGCAUAUAAAAAAUGACUGCAGAUUUCUGUAGUGUCCUGUCAAGUAGGUUAGCACGAUAAAGACAGAUGGCAAAGGAUUAUAUCUAAUUCUUUUUCCUAAUUUAUCUUUUCCUGACCAUUCCACUGCACUCAGUCUAACUAGAGAUAUACCAACCUAACCUCCUCUCCAUAACUCACAGUGACAAACCGCGUAUAGAAUUUGCAACAUCCCAUCAUUAGGAACGUUUAAUUGGACACAACUGCUUUUCAUCAGCUGCCUUUAAAUGCUGUUUCUGGUUGAAUGAUGUUUGCAGUGUUACAAUGGUAGAAUUCCAGCUUCAUUUUUAAAGCAAGCAUCCUAAAAAGCCCAGGAAUAUCAGAGUGCUUCUGGUGAAUGUAUCUGUCCUGCUCAGGCAAAGAUGAAUUUCAGGCUGGAAUCUCUUACCUAGAUGUGGGUAAUCUCACAGCACAAUACUAACAGUGCUGUCCUAAAGAUACCUUACUGGUUCUUUCCU